rnacentral:rRNA from 1 species
CUACGGGCCGCAGCAGUGGGGAAUAUUGCACAAUGGGCGCAAGCCUGAUGCAGCAACGCCGUGUGAACGAUGAAGGCCUUCGGGUUGUAAAGUUCUUUUCUUAGGGAAGAAUAAAUGACGGUACCUAAGGAAUCAGCCCCGGCUAACUACGUGCCAGCAGCCGCGGUAAUACGUAGGGGGCAAGCGUUAUCCGGAAUCACUGGGCGUAAAGGGAGUGUAGGCGGUCAAACAAGUCAGGGGUGAAAGGCAUCGGCUCAACCGAUGUAAGCCUUUGAAACUGUUUGACUUGAGUGCAGGAGAGGUAAGUGGAAUUCCUAGUGUAGCGGUGAAAUGCGUAGAUAUUAGGAGGAACACCAGUGGCGAAGGCGACUUACUGGACUGUAACUGACGCUGAGGCUCGAAAGCGUGGGGAGCGAACAGGAUUAGAUACCCUCGUAGUC